rnacentral:misc_RNA from 1 species
AGUUCACUCAAUCACAGCUUAAUCUCAAUACCCAAAUACUCAUUCAGAACUAGCAUUCUAAAAGCAACCAUCUUAGUGCAAGUAUCUAAAUAGUCUAGCCAUGUUUAAACCACCAUUCUUACAACUCUGCUUUAUUGGGGCAACUAGGUUUAUGGACAUUUUGUGAACAAUUAACGAUUAUAUUUCCUCUGUAUGCAUUUACUAUUGUGCUCUAUAAUUUUAUUAAUUUCUUGUCUUUUGCCAAAUUCACUACG